UCCAGCGCUUCCCCAGGGCGCGGGCAGCGGUCCAAUUGAGGCCGACCGAGUUAUGAGAGCCGCCGGUCCGAGUGCGCGCAUGGCGCUGGCUCUGCUGCUGCUGGCCGGGGCCGGGGUGUCGGCCGCCACCUCGUCCUCCGCCCCGCCGCUCUUCAACGUGAGCCUGGACGCGGCCCCCGAGCUGCGCUGGCUGCCAGUGCUGCAGCACUUCGACCGCGACUUCUUGCGCGCCUCUAUGGCGCGUAUCAUCGGGGAUACUGUCCCCAAGUGGGUCCUCGCAUUGAUCCGAAAGGCGGUCUGGGAGCUGGAGCUCUUCCUGCCCCAGCCCUUCACCGACGAGAUCCGCGGCCAGUGCGACGCUCUGAACUUCACCCUGGCCGACUGCAUCCUCCUUAACCUGGCCUACGAGUCCACAGCAUUCUGCACCAGUAUUGUGGCUCAGGACUCCAAAGGCAACAUUUAUCAUGGCCGGAACCUGGAUUACUCUUUUGGAAAUUUCUUACGCAAGUUGACAGUGGAUGUGCAGUUCAUAAAGAAUGGGCAGAUUGCUUUCACGGGAACCACCUUUAUUGGCUAUGUAGGAUUGUGGACCGGUCAGAGCCCACACAAGUUUACUGUUUCUGGCGACGAACGAGAUAAAGGCUCGUGGUGGGAGAAUAUGAUUGCCGCCCUUUUUCAUAGACACUCACCGGUCAGCUGGCUUAUCCGCACUACCCUGAGUGAAUCAGAAAACUUUGAAGCAGCUGUUUACGAAUUGGCCAAGACUCCCCUUAUGGCUGAUGUUUAUUACAUUGUUGGUGGCACAUUCCCCCAGGAGGGAGUGGUCAUCACAAGGAACAGAGAUGGCCCAGCAGACAUAUGGCCUCUAGAUCCUUUAAAUGGAGCGUGGUUCCGAGUGGAGACAAAUUAUGACCAUUGGAAGCCAGUGCCUAAGAGAGAUGACCGAAGAACACCUGCCAUCAAAGCUCUUAAUGCCACGGGCCAGGCAAACCUCAGCCUGGAGACGCUCUUUCAGGUUUUGUCAGUGUUUCCGGUUUAUAACAAGAUCUACAUUUAAAUGAUUAUCACCAGUGAACCAGAAAUAACACAGAUCCCUGACUCUCAGGCCUUUUGCAUGUAAUGAUUACCAUCAGCUACGUCUGUUCAGUGUGUGAGGCUAAUAUUUAGAAAAGUCUGAACAGAAGCAAGGAUCUCUAUGCUGCCCCCUUGUGCUGUGCUACAAAAUUACAGUCCCCUGCAGUGGAGCUCCAUCCUCUGCUGUGGCUAUAAGCAGAGACAGUAUUAAAACAGUGAUGGAGAACAGAAUUAUGACUAAAGGGCUUCCCUGGUGGUGCAGUGGUUAAGAAUCCGCCUGCCAAUGCAAGGGACACCGGUUUCAGCCCUGGUCCAGGAAGAUCCCACAUGCCACGGAACAACUAAACUCCUGCACCACAAAUACUGAGCCUGCACUCUAGAGCCUGCGAGCCACAACUACUGAAGCCCGCACACCUAGAGCCCAUGCUUCACAACAAGAGAAGCCACCGCAAUGAGAAGCUGGCAACGAAGAGUAGCCCACGCUCGCCGCAACUACAGAAAGCCCGCCCGCAGCAAUGAAGACCCAACGCAGCCAAAAAUAAUACAUUUUUUAAAAGCUUAAAAAAGAAUUAUGACUAAAUUAAAUAAGCAGCUGAGGUCCUGUUCAGGGAACCUUCGUUCCCCUUGACAAGCUUUGCAUGUUCUCAUAGUGCUGUCUUCAGCCCAGUGUUUGAUUCAGCUGUGGGGUGCCAGUGCCUAUUCCUAAACUGCCCCACUCCCAAUGCUUUGAGCAGGCAUCCCAGCUGGUGUCUGGGGCAAAAGGAAGUCGAAGGGAGUGAAGGGUAGGAGCCUCAGUGUGUAUGUGCAUGCGUAUGUGCAUGUGCCCAAGUUAUUUGGGUCUCUUGCUCUGCAGAAUGUUGAGUAAGUGACAUUGUACUUUUCAUCCUUAGAUCUGGGCCAGUGGACCCCCUGUCUUGAUCCCUGAGCUUUCAGGUCCCCACUCUGGCCUUCCUCUGACUCUCCCAUGAUAUAAGGAAUCCACUCAGAGUCUGGCCCAAGUACCCAGAACCCUGGAAUUCUCGUCCUGAACAGCGCCCAAGCCAUUUCCAGGGCCUGCGUGGUUCACUUCCCUGGGUGGUGUUCUCCUGGUGGCGGUGUGCAGCCUUCAUGGACGUCCUGUGCCUGGUGGUGGCCAAGGGAUGGCUGUUUGCUGGGGGUGGUGCAUGAAGCCUAGAUGAGCGUCCACAUAUGUGCCAUUUGUGGGGUAGGCAGAGCAGGACUGCAGGCUAAGGCUAGCUCUCCUUCAUUGCCACAGUGUGAAACUCUGGGGAGUCUGAGAAUUUUGAACUUGGCCUUCCACAGUGUUGUCAAAAUAGGAAAGAACACUUAGUGUGGUUCCUUGAAUUAUAACUUUUAAAUAGCCUGACAUAGGUGGGUGUCUGUCUGUAUUCUUGUCCUGGGUCCCAAGUAUUAGGAAAAGAGCUUGGGAUUUUUCUUCCCCUCUUUGGAAUAUUAGAGAAAAUGAUGUAUAUGUUAAAAUUCCUCUCAUUUUCAGCUACACAAUUUAUACUACAGUAAUGAGUGCUGCCAGCCCAGACAAGUACAUGACUAGGAUCAGAAACCCGAGUUAAAAGCAGAAGAGCGAAUUCACCUAUGCUAUGAAGAUGAUCUUUUUAAAUGAAAUUUUUGAAGAGCUGCAC